GAGAUCUCUACCUGCCUGAGGCCUUCAAAAGCAAGAGAAGGACACUUGGUAAACAGGAAUCAGAGCAGAACUGGGAGAUGACAGCCUGUCCUCCACCUUCCCACCUCUCCGUAGAAAUGAACCUGGCUUGGUGUGAGCAUGAUGCACAGUGCAUAUAGGCUGUAGUUACUGCACACAUCAGCAGUGGAACAGCAGCACUGCUGUGCCCUGCAGCCCUGUGGCUCCUGAACAUCUCCUGAAGCUGAUGGAAUGAAUCCAGGGGAAGGCAUGAAGAUUCUUGGAGGCUGCAGCACCUCCACUGUGGAGCGAAUAGAAGGCCCUGGGGAGACCUCACUGUGGACUUUUGAGAUCUUUGAACCAUGUUACCACAAGUUGUGCUGCAGAUAGACUCCAACGUUCCUGAUAGCAAGCAGGAACCGACCCAGCUCUGCUUUGCUGCAGCAAGGAGGGCAGGGCACAGAGGCUAAGGAUGUUUCAUGGUGAAAACAAAGACUUUUGUAAGUGUGUACUGUUAGCCAAAGCAAGCACUGGUUGGAAUCACAGAUGAUCUGCUGACCCUGGGGUACUACAGAAAGCAGUGGCUGCUGAGCAGAACUUCAGCCCUAAUGUUGGCUGGACAGAUCUCACAGCCACCACCUGCAUCCUGCUAUGGAACAUUGGUGGGACAGCCAGCCCUCCUUGUUGUGAAUAACUGUUUUCCUGGUCAUCAGCUUCCGAGCAGGGGUGCCGUUGGAAUUUAUUUGCACAGAGCACUGGGAGUCACUGUGUACCCCCUCAGGCAGGGGUAGCAUUACUGUGCCUUCUGGCUCAUGGCUGGGAGAGCUGCAGCUAAAAAUGUGUCGGGUUCGUGGUUCCACCCACAAACCAGAAAUCACCAAACCUGUAUUAUUUUUGAAUCCCCUGCUUUUGAGGGCUGGUGGAAAUAAGAUAUCUUGCUUCUGACUUCCAAGCAAUAAAGAGGUGAAUCACUACUGAGCAAAGCCUCUGCUGGACCACCCAGUCGCUCUGUGCAAAGCUGUAAAGCGAUCCUCAGCAGAAGUGGCAAAGUGGAGACCGAUUUUCUUGAUAUUACUGUGAUUGUGUGAGGCAAAUCAAAUGGGAAAUAAAGCAUCGGGGCUCGCUAACAAAGUGGCUAACUGAGAAGUGUGCUAAUGAAUGCAGGCUGAUUAACAUGCAUUGAACUGAAAGCUAAACUGCGUACGGGUCACAGGGGGAACGCAGAGCUUAUUUACUCUUCUGAGUACAACAUGUUAUGUUCAAGACCCAACAUGUGCGGGUAAUUCAGAUUUAAAUGCUUUCUUCCUCCUCGUAGUCCUGGAUAAUUAUCCAACUCAGGAUAAAUAAGUUAAUUUAUUUUUGUUUUUACUAAAUAAUGGU